UGGGGAAUAUUGCACAAUGGGCGAAAGCCUGAUGCAGCAACGCCGCGUGAGUGAUGAAGGCCUUCGGGUUGUAAAGCUCUGUCUUUUGGGACGAUAAUGACGGUACCAAAGGAGGAAGCCACGGCUAACUACGUGCCAGCAGCCGCGGUAAUACGUAGGUGGCAAGCGUUGUCCGGAUUUACUGGGCGUAAAGGAUGCGUAGGCGGAUUUUUAAGUGAGAUGUGAAAACCCUAAGCUUAACUUGGGGACUGCAUUUCAUACUGGAAAUCUAGAGUGCGGGAGAGGAGAAUGGAAUUCCUAGUGUAGCGGUGAAAUGCGUAGAGAUUAGGAAGAACACCAGUGGCGAAGGCGAUUCUCUGGACCGUAACUGACGCUGAGGCAUGAAAGCGUGGGUAGCAAACAGGAUUAGAUACCCUGGUAGUCCACGCCGUAAACGAUGAGUACUAGGUGUAGGAGGUAUCGACCCCUUCUGUGCCGCAGUUAACACAAUAAGUACUCCGCCUGGGAAGUACGAUCGCAAGAUUAAAACUCAAAUGAAUUGACGGGGGUCAUAGCUG
rnacentral:rRNA from 1 species